rnacentral:lncRNA from 1 species
GGCCAAAGUGCAAUGGAGUGAUCUCAGCUCGCUGCAACCUCUGCCUCCUGAAUUCAAGUGAUUCACCUGUCUCAGCUUCCCAAGUGGCUGGGAUUACAGAGACCGGGUCUCACCAUAUUGCUCUGGCUGGUUUCAAACUCCUGGGCUCAAGCGAUCCUCCUGCCUCAGCCUUCCAAAACCAGGUGUUUAACUUGGGACUAACAUGAAGCACUUAGAAGACUACGUGGAACAUAGUGAGCUACAUAAAAUAUUUGCUAUUAGCAUAAUAAUUUUAUUGCAUAUCUUAACAAAAUUGUGUAAGUUAGGCAGGUGGCAUGCCAAUGGAAGUAUUCUCCUAUAGCUGCACUGAAUCAUUCUUACCACUGAGAGUUGCAGCAAAUGGGGGACAUAAUUUAUAACUUACUUUUCUCUCUGUAUGACUCAUUAGGCAAUGACUAUAUAUGUACUACAACGUAAACAGCACCUCCUGGAUUGAAUAGAACAUAACUGACAUGACCAGCAGAGACAGGCUAAAGACACUGAGCUGAAAACCCUGGACUCUAUUGCUAAAUUGAGGCUCCUGAAUCCGUUCGCUCUGAGCAACUGUUGCUGUGGUGCUGCCUUCACAAGCACUCUGCUGAGCACUCAGAUAGAGGGGCUGUGCUAUCCAUCAACAGACAAGCUGCAGCCAGAACUGCUCAGCUGACAAACUGGUAGAGGUCCAGAAACACAGUUCUGCUGCAUAGUGAAAAAAGGCCAAUUUAGAUUCUUUUUCAUAGAGAGAAAAACAUAAACAUGUGAUUGAACGAGUCUCCUGUAUUAGACUAAUUGGGUUGGCUUUGAUAUUUAAUUGCUAAAAAUACACUUAGAAUAUAAACCUUACUGUGUCAAGGUCUCAAAGAAGAAAUAAUUGGUAUGGUAUAAAGAAGUAUUGAAUUCUAUGCUACAAACUUCUAAGCUAAAAUAUUUUCAAUGUAUGCAAGGAUAGGUGACAUACAUAUUAUAUACUAUUCCCCCAUUAAGCAAAUUUAUAAUGAGAGAAAAUUAUCUUCCAUAAAAAAAUAAAAGCCAUGUAAAAUUAAGGACUAAGUUUUUCUGCACAGACUAGACAACGAUUGCUAACACAUAAGGUCAACGAGAGAACAGUCAGAGAAAGCUUCAUGAAAACAAUAAAUUGUCUGCCACGUCUGAGUGAAUGAGGCUAGAUGAACAGAAACUGAGAAGGCAGAAAGGAUAGCAUGAGCAAGACAAGUGCUGAAAUCUGCCCAAUUAACUCUGAGGAUAAAGUCCAAUGGCAGGGAAAUAAAAACCCGUGUCCACAUAAUAACCUGUAAGUGAAUGUUCGCAGCAGCAUUGUUCAUAAUAGCUAAAAAGUGGAAACUAACUUAAAGGUCCAUCAACUGAUGAAUGAAUGGAAAACCAGUAUAGCCAUGGAAUAGUACAUCAUUUAACUAUAAGAAGAAAUAAACUACUCAUGUGUGCUAAAACAUGCAUGAAUUCUGAAAGCAUUAUGCUAAGUGAAAAAGCCAGUCACAAAGGACUACAUAUUGUAUAACGCUAUGUAUACGAAAUAUACAGAACAGGUAAAUAUAUGGAGACAAAAGUAGAUAGAUGGUGGUUGCCUACAACAGGGGUAGGUGGAGGGACAUGGAGGAAGGCUGCAGUCAUGCCUAGGAGAUGUGGGGUUGCUUUUCAGGGUGAUGAAAAUGCUGUGAAUAUACUAAUAGAUACUCAGUUGUACAUUUUAAAUGGUUGAACUCUCUCAAAUGUGAAUGAUAUCUCAGUGAAACUGUUUUUAAAAUCCAAAGGCAGGAUCAAGAUAAUUUUCUCAACUCUCAAUUUUUGACUUACAUGCUAUAUCAAAUCUAAAUAUUUUUAGAGUUUUAUAGUAUAUUUUAAAUUAAAGAUAAAGAAAAUGCCUAAAUUUUCAAAUAGUUUGUAAAUUAACCUAAAACAUGCACAUUUCAAAGAAUAGUAUAAUGGCCUUUCUGUACAAGUUAACCUGCAGUCUGUGAAAUAAAUAGACACAGAUUCUGUGUCCAUUCACGAAAGUGAAGAAAUAAGACAACUUUCUGGAACUUUCCAUGAAAUAUUCUCCUCUGAUUUAAUCUGGCCUGCCUCAUCAGAACAAUACAAAAAUUACUUAAAAAUACUGUUUUUACAGGAAAAAAGUCAGUUUUCUAUGAGGAAUGAUAUAUAAUUCUCCACUUUUCCAAGGGUACAUAUUGUAACAGAAAAGGUAUGUAAUGGUUUUUCAAAAUGGUAGAAUGAAAGUCACAAUAUAAAAAAAUAAGUACAUUAUAAAGAUAGUAAAAUGUAAAUAAUUCAUUGUAAUGAAACUAAAAAAUCAAGCUUCUGCCAAAAUUAGUAUCCUAAAACACGUUAUAUAAACUCAACUAGCUACAGAAUAAGAGUUGACAUGUUAAAUUCCAUACACACUUGACUUUUCACUUGAAAUAAUUUCUUCUUUGGGGCCUGUGUCUCAUCCAAAUUAAUGUGAUAAUGUGACAUACCUUCCAGUGGAGACUCUAACGUAGUUAAUUUUUUUAGGCUGUCAGCCGCUUCUUGUUGAAGUUGUCUCACAACCACCUGAGAAAAUAUUUUUGUUACUGAUUUUAUAAAUUGCCUUAUUAUUAAAUUAUGUUAAUAAUAUUUAACUCCCUGCCAAAUUGGUAUUCUCUUACUUACACAACAGGUUCAUCCCACCAUUCAAUCAUCUUAGAAGCUCAACUCAACCUCAAAGUGACUAACAUAUUCAAUCACCUUUUCAAAUCCUUCCAACAGAUUCCUAUCUCAGGAUAAAAGUGAAAUUCCAAUGGCCUUUGAGGCCCUAGGUAAACAGUCCUCUACCUCCCUCUCUGACUUCAAAGCUCCUACAACUCCUUCCUGUAAUUACUCCAUUCCCACUGUACGUGAAGCCUGCCACCCCUCAGUCUGAAAAUGGGGAUCUAAUGCCUUACUCAUA